rnacentral:rRNA from 1 species
AGGACGAACGCUGGCGGCGUGCUUAACACAUGCAAGUCGAGCGGAAAGGCCCUUCGGGGUACUCGAGCGGCGAACGGGUGAGUAACACGUGAGCAACCUGCCCUUAGCUCCGGGAUAGCUCCGGGAAACCGGAAUUAAUACCGGAUAUGACCUAGGCCGACAUCGGCUGUGGUGGAAAGUUUUUCGGCUGGGGAUGGACUCGCGGCCUAUCAGCUUGUUGGUGGGGUAAUGGCCUACCAAGGCGACGACGGGUAGCCGGCCUGAGAGGGCGACCGGCCACACUGGGACUGAGACACGGCCCAGACUCCUACGGGAGGCAGCAGUGGGGAAUCUUGCGCAAUGGGCGAAAGCCUGACGCAGCGACGCCGCGUGGGGGAUGAAGGCCUUCGGGUUGUAAACCCCUUUCAGCAGGGACGAAGCGAAAGUGACGGUACCUGCAGAGAAGCGCCGGCUAACUACGCGCCAGCAGCCGC